AAUAGAUACCCAGGUAGUCCACGCCGUAAACGGUGGGCACUAGGUGUGGGCGACAUUCCACGUCGUCCGUGCCGCAGCUAACGCAUUAAGUGCCCCGCCUGGGGAGUACGGCCGCAAGGCUAAAACUCAAAGGAAUCGACGGGGGCCCGCACAAGCGGCGGAGCAUGUGGCUUAAUUCGACGCAACGCGAAGAACCUUACCAAGGCUUGACAUACACCGGAAACGUCCAGAGAUGGGCGCCCCCUUGUGGUCGGUGUACAGGUGGUGCAUGGCUGUCGUCAGCUCGUGUCGUGAGAUGUUGGGUUAAGUCCCGCAACGAGCGCAACCCUUGUCCCGUGUUGCCAGCAGGCCCUUGUGGUGCUGGGGACUCACGGGAGACCGCCGGGGUCAACUCGGAGGAAGGUGGGGACGACGUCAAGUCAUCAUGCCCCUUAUGUCUUGGGCUGCACACGUGCUACAAUGGCCGGUACAAUGAGCUGCGAUACCGCGAGGUGGAGCGAAUCUCAAAAAGCCGGUCUCAGUUCGGAUUGGGGUCUGCUAAC
rnacentral:rRNA from 1 species